UACGUAGGGGGCUAGCGUUGUCCGGAAUCAUUGGGCGUAAAGAGCGUGUAGGCGGUCCGGUAAGUCCGCUGUGAAAGUCGGGGGCUCAACCCUCGAAUGCCGGUGGAUACUGUCGGGCUAGAGUGCGGAAGAGGCGAGUGGAAUUCCCGGUGUAGCGGUGGAAUGCGUAGAGAUCGGGAGGAACAUCAGUGGCGAAGGCGGCCCUCUGGACCAGUACUGACGCUGAGGCACGAAAGCGUGGGGAGCAAACAGG
rnacentral:rRNA from 1 species